rnacentral:rRNA from 1 species
GCACCACAAGAGGUGGGACCUACGGUUCAAUUGGAUUCAACGCCGGAAAACUCACCAGGGGCGACAGUUGGAUGAAAGCCGGGUUGACGACCUUGCCCGACUAGCCGAGAGGUGGUGCAUGGCCAUCGUCAGCUCGUACCGUGAGGCGUCCUGUCAAGUCAGGCAACGAGCGAGAUCCUCGCCCUUAGUUGCCAUCGGUGGAAAAGCCGGGCACUCUAGGGGGACCGCUGGCGCUAAAUCAGAGGAAGGAGAGGGCGACGGUAGGUCAGUAUGCCCCGAAUCCCCUGGGCUACACGCGGGUCACAAUGCGCAGGACAAAGAGAUGCAACCCCGUGAGGGGAAGCCAAACCCAUAAACCUGCGCGCGGUUCGGAUCGAGGGCUGUAACUCGCCCUCGUGAAGCUGGAAUCUCUAGUAAUCGCGUGCCAACACCGCGCGGUGAAUGCGUCCCUGCUCCUUGCACACACCGCCCGUCAAGCCACUCGAGUGGGGUUUGGAUGAGGUCAGCUCAAGUUGGGCUGCUCGAAUCCGAGUUCUGCAAGAGGGGCU